rnacentral:rRNA from 1 species
CCUACGGGAGGCAGCAGUGGGGAAUAUUGCACAAUGGGCGCAAGCCUGAUCCAGCCAUGCCGCGUGUAUGAAGAAAGGGUCUUCGGAUUGUAAAGCACUUUAACCUGGGAGGAAGGGUUGUAGAUUAAUACUCUCGCAAUUNGACGUUACCGCAGAAUAAGCCCCGC